rnacentral:lncRNA from 1 species
AUUAUUAAAGUAACAGUGAUGGAAGAAGCAGAAGAACCCUUGUAUCUCUUUUGCCUCAGACUGUAAAAUAAAAUGGAGUCGAAGGAAAGAAUGGCUAGCUGGCGCUGUGUGUGAGUAGGAGUAUGCCAAGAUGGAAGGAAGCCUCAUACAGUGAGAUUAAUAAUCCGUCGGUAUUCCUCUGAGAAGCACUAUGGUCGUGAGAGUCGUCAGUGCCCUAUUCCUUCACAUGUAAUUCAGAAAUUAGGGACAGGAAAUUAUGAUGUGAUGACCCCAAUGGUUGAUAUACUUAUGAAACUUUUUCGAAAUAUGGUGAAUGUGAAGAUGCCAUUUCACCUUACCCUUCUAAGUGUGUGCUUCUGCAACCUUAAAGCACUAAAUACUGCUAAGAAAGGGCUUAUUGAUUAUUAUUUAAUGCCAUCAUUAUCAACUACUUCACGCUCUGGCAAGCACAGUUUUAAAAUGAAAGACACUCAUAUGGAAGAUUUUCCCAAAGACAAAGAAACAAACCGGGAUUUCCUACCAAGUGGAAGAAUUGAAAGUACAAGAACUAGGGAGUCUCCACUAGAUACCACAAAUUUUUCUA